UUGUGGAGUGAUUUGUCUGCUUAAUUGCGAUAACGAACGAGACCUUAACCUACUAAAUAGCCAGGCUAGCUUUGGCUGGUCGCCGGCUUCUUAGAGGGACUUUCGGCUCAAGCCGAAGGAAGUUUGAGGCAAUAACA
rnacentral:rRNA from 1 species